rnacentral:rRNA from 1 species
CGCGUAUGCAACUUGCCUUACAGAGGGGGAUAACCCGUUGAAAGACGGACCAAAACCGCAUACAUUGUAUUAUUGCAUGAUAUUACAAGGAAAUAUUUAUAGCUGUAAGAUAGGCAUGCGUCCCAUUAGCUGGUUGGUGAGGUAACGGCUCACCAAGGCGACGAUGGGUAGGGGAACUGAGAGUUUAUCCCCCACAUGGUACUGAGACACGGACCAGACUCCUACGGGAGGCAGCAGUGAGGAAUAUUGGUCAAUGGGCGAGAGCCUGAACCAGCCAAGUCGCGUGAAGGAAGACAGUCCUAAGGAUUGUAAACUUCUUUUAUACGGGAAUAACGGGCGAUACGAGUAUUGCAUUGAAUGUACCGUAAGAAUAAGCAUCGGCUAACUCCGUGCCAGCAGCCGCGGUAAUACGGAGGAUGCGAGCGUUAUCCGGAUUUAUUGGGUUUAAAGGGUGCGUAGGUUGUUCGGUAAGUCAGCGGUGAAACCUGAGCGCUCAACGUUCAGCCUGCCGUUGAAACUGCCGGGCUUGAGUUCAGUGGCGGCAGGCGGGAUUCGUGGUGUAGCGGUGAAAUGCAUAGAUAUCACGAGGAACUCCGAUUGCGAAGGCAGCUUGCCAUA